GACAGAGGCCUCGAGCGUUAGGCGGAAUCACUGGGCUUAAAGCGUGUGUAGGCGGACCCCUAAGUACCUUGUGAAAUCCCACGGCUCACCCGUGGAACCGCUGGGUAGUACUGGGGGUCUUGGGGCCACUCAGGGGCGACUGGAACAAGCGGUGGAGCGGUGAAAUGCGUAGAUAUCGCUUGGAACGCCGACGGUGAAAACAGGUCGCUGGGAGUGCGCCGACGCUGAGACACGAAAGCCAGGGGAGCAAACGGG
rnacentral:rRNA from 1 species